GGGUAAACGUGUUGGGUUAUUCUAAUGCAGUGUUGGGUUACUCUAACUCAAUAUUGGUACAGUGGGGAACAUCUAUGCUACUCUACUGAUUGGGUUAUUAGUUAGGUUACACAAUAACCCAACUCACUGGUUUAUUGUACCCAACACUGUGUUGCCCUGCUACGUUUGAAAUCAGAGUUCCCUGCAGAUAACGUUCUUUCUGCCUGCCCGCCCUGGAAGAAGUGAGCUGACCGGAGUCUUCAACAGGAAUACAGGUUUGUAAUGUGUUUUUACUGUUUUGUCUCCAGCUAACUUUAAUUAACUGCCUAAAGCUGAUAGAUAUGUGAUAGCCAUUCGUUCAUCCAACGCAUUCCUUAUCUUCCAUACGAUCGAUCUAUGAGAGGUAUGAACCCAUAGAAUAAGAAGACCGUUGCCCAAGUAGUCUCUACAAACCUAAACCGUUGGUUACUCUCAAUGACCUAAACCAAUGGAAAUGGAGUCAACUAAUCUAAUCAUAAGAAAUAUUGGAAUGAAUCUCGUCUCGAAACCAUAUGGGAUGAAUUUUGAUUUCACGAAACUCGCCUGUAACUUCAAUCUGUGUCCAACCGUCUUUUGGUUUCCACGGUAACUCUCGACACAAAUAACUGGCCGCACUGAAGUUGGUCUCUCGGCGGGCAAAUAUUAUCAACUCUCUGCCGCGAGUCCGCGUGGAAUAAGUAGCACAAAUCAGCGCAAGUUAGAGAAAUUAAUAAUAACAACAACGGAAAAUAUGGACGUGCCGUGUAUCCCUAUUCAGUUGGACUAUUGCCGCUGGCAUCUGCAGCUCUGCUCAAGGUAGGCUGGUAGGCUAGUUCAUGGCUGAUUGCAGGCAGCUAGUCUGUGUGGUUUUAGAACUAGCUUUUCAGAUAAGCCUGGACGUCCGCGAAGUGGGCUUCGACAGACAUGCCAGGACGGUUAACACUGUAUGUCAGCGAGCAUGGUAUAGCUACUACCUCUGGUUUAACAACAAUGUGGCUUUCUAUUUGCUAUAUGAUUGCAGCUAUGAAAAAAAGGAAGGAGACGUCCAGGACUGAACAGAGCUGUCACCUGUUGCAGUGCAGUGCACCGACUGACUGACGCUAUUUGCUUGGAUGUUGCUGAAAGAAAGGAGGCAUUCUUCAUUGUGCAGCACUAGCCUACUGUGGAGGCCGAGAGAGUUUUGAUGAGGCUUCUGUACCCAGGAGGCGGAAGCAGCAAUGCCAGCUUCAAUGCGCACAGUCCUUUAAAAGGGAACCCAGCUAAGAUUUUAUUGCAAAUUCUACACAGAAUGUACUGCUCUACACAUUUGUUUUGGAAACACUGUGUAUUAUUGUAAGUGCACACCAGGGGUGGGGAACCUUUUUCAUUUGAAGGGCCACUUCAAAUUACUCUGAGGGCCGUGAAAGUCCUCCGAGGGCCGUACAAUUAACACAAACUAGGAUUUCCCCCUGCACUCUAGGCCUAUAUGGAAUGCAGCCACUUUAAAACAGACCUUAACUUCUAUAUGUCCCCUGAAUAUAACUUUCAUUGUAUUGCAAAUGUUUCUUUUACAAAAUAUGCCAUAUUUCAUAUGAAGCUGCAUAAUAUUAAAAUUGUCUCAGGGGCUGGAUAAAACGGCCUCAAGGGCCGCAAACGGCCCUCCAGACAUAGGUUCCCCACCCCUGGUUUACACCAAUACACUGCAGCAAAUUCAUAGUGACACUACAAUGACCUCAGCUAUUUGGUUGUAUCUAGUGUUUAGGUACUGUCACAAAGCAGUCUUACAAACACAUUUAUUUAUCUCUGUAUCAACAUUGAGGUUCUCAUAUAACCUUUCCCCAUUCUAUUCCCAAGUAAAAAUGUGCUCAUAGAAACAACUUGAAGGCAUAAUGCCCUUCACUUUCAACAUGGGUCUUCUUUGUAAACUUUGAAAAUGUAUAUUGAAAAAGUAGGCUAUAUUAUUUUUCUAUAUUAGUAAAUAAUGAGU